UACGUAGGGUGCGAGCGUUGUCCGGAAUUACUGGGCGUAAAGAGCUCGUAGGUGGUUUGUCGCGUUGUCCGUGAAAACUCACAACUCAAUUGUGGUCGUGCGGUCGAUACGGGCAGACUGGAGUACUGCAGGGGAGACUGGAAUUCCUGGUGUAGCGGUGGAAUGCGCAGAUAUCAGGAGGAACACCGGUGGCGAAGGCGGGUCGCUGGGCAGUAACUGACGCUGAGGAGAGAAAGCGUGGGGAGCAAACAGG
rnacentral:rRNA from 1 species